CUCUCCCCCCCCCUCUCUCUCUGGUUACCUCAGCUAGGAUUGCAAGGCCUCAGAACUGGAGAUGAGAAGAGAUUAACUGCACAUUAUUUCCUCUCCUGAAUGUUGUUCUUAUUGCCAGGAAAGCACCAAAUCUUGCUCCCUCUCUGGUCUGCAUCUCAACUUCUUAGGCCUCCUGCCUGGCAAGCUGCAUGUCGUUGUGGUGGGACCUGGAGUUGCAUUGGGCUCAGUGAUCAAGGGGAGAUGGAAUUCUCCCAGUGAGCUUUGUGGACCACCAUUUAUAUAUUCUAAUAGCCAGGGCGACCAAAUCUGAGGGUACUUAAAUCCAGAGGCUGGACCCAUGAAAGGACAAGAUACAUCUUUUUACAAACCUGAAAAAAAUACUCCAGUUACCAAUCUGAGAUGAUAAAACCACGUGUAAGAGAUAUGAAGAGAAGCCAACUGAGAAGAGAAGAUUGUUAUUUGCUGAAGACACUUUAAUAAUGCUAGUUGUACUGACACCUUGAAUAUCUCCCAAGUAGAUGGUUUUGUUAAUACUCUUUGUUUUUCUGCUGGAUAACUUUGAUUCCUAGAGUUGCAGACUAGCAUUGUAUGUUGGGGUUUUUUGUACACGGAGUGUGCUUUAUUUUCAGUACAGUGUUACAUAGUAUAACGGAUUUUGUACAGAUGACUCCUUAUGUAUAAAUCCGAAUAAAAUGGAUAUCUUGAAAAGACAA